rnacentral:lncRNA from 1 species
GAACUUAGGAGAGCAAAUGUGGGAAGAGAUAAAGGAUUUUUAAGGGAAGGAUAAGGAUUUUGGAGAAGAGGAGUGCCGAUUUGGAGAAGAUGGGUAGAGUCUAGGGUAAGCUUGACUCGCUCCAAAUGGAGAAGGAGAAAAGGGAGGAGCUUGGUUCCAAGAGGGCGAUUUAGAGGGUGAGAGUUGGUGGGAGAAGAGUUUUGGGAAACAACUUGGGUUUGGAAAAGAAGAGAGGGAGUCUUUUGGCUUGGUGGAAGGAA